rnacentral:rRNA from 1 species
UACGAAGGGGGCUAGCGUUGCUCGGAAUUACUGGGCGUAAAGGGAGCGUAGGCGGGUUAUCAAGUUGGAGGUGAAAGCCCAGGGCUCAACCUUGGAAUUGCCUUCAAAACUGAUAACCUAGAGGAUGAUAGAGGUAAGUGGAACUCCGAGUGUAGAGGUGAAAUUCGUAGAUAUUCGGAAGAACACCAGUGGCGAAGGCGACUUACUGGAUCAUUACUGACGCUGAGGCUCGAAAGCGUGGGAGCAAACAGG